rnacentral:rRNA from 1 species
CCCGGCACAAGCGGAGGAACAUGUGGUUUAAUUCGAUGAUACGCGAGGAACCUUACCUGGGCUAGAACGCAUUCGGAAUCAGGCCGAAAGGCCUGCGCCAGCGAUGGCCGCUUGCGAGGUGCUGCAUGGUUGUCGUCAGCUCGUGCCGUGAGGUGUCGGGUUAAGUCCCAUAACGAGCGCAACCCCUACUGCUAGUUGCCAGCGGGUCAUGCCGGGGACUCUAGCGGAACUGCCAGCGUAAGCUGCGAGGAAGGUGGGGAUGACGUCAAAUCAGCACGGCCCUUACGUCCAGGGCUACACACGUGUUACAAUGGCCGGUACAGAGGGCAGCCACCCCGCGAGGGGGCGCGAAUCCCGAAAGCCGGUCCCAGUUCGGAUUGGAGUCUGCAACUCGACUCCAUGAAGUUGGAAUCGCUAGUAAUCGUGGAUCAGCAUGCCACGGUGAAUACGUUCCCGGGCCUU